rnacentral:rRNA from 1 species
GGCCUGAGGUACUGGAAGGUCCUCAGGCCGAAAGGGGCUCUGCCCGCCCGAGGAUGGGCCGGCGGCCGAUUAGGUAGUUGGUGGGGUAACGGCCCACCAAGCCGAAGAUCGGUACGGGCCAUGAGAGUGGGAGCCCGGAGAUGGACACUGAGACACGGGUCCAGGCCCUACGGGGCGCAGCAGGCGCGAAACCUCCGCAAUGCGGGCAACCGCGACGGGGGGACCCCCAGUGCCGUGGCAACGCCACGGCUUUUCCGGAGUGUAAAAAGCUCCGGGAAUAAGGGCUGGGCAAGGCCGGUGGCAGCCGCCGCGGUAAUACCGGCGGCCCGAGUGGUGGCCGCUAUUAUUGGGCCUAAAGCGUCCGUAGCCGGGCCCGUAAGUCCCUGGCGAAAUCCCACGGCUCAACCGUGGGGCUUGCUGGGGAUACUGCGGGCCUUGGGACCGGGAGAGGCCGGGGGUACCCCUGGGGUAGGGGUGAAAUCCUAUAAUCCCAGGGGGACCGCCAGUGGCGAAGGCGCCCGGCUGGAACGGGUCCGACGGUGAGGGACGAAGGCCAGGGGAGCGAACCGGAUUAGAUACCCGGGUAGUCCUGGCUGUAAAGGAUGCGGGCUAAGUGUCGGGCGAGCUUCGAGCUCGCCCGGUGCCGAAGG